rnacentral:rRNA from 1 species
AAAAUUACAAUGGACCGCCCGGGGGACACCCCCGGGCGCUGUGCCCUCUCGUUUGCACUGAUGGCGCAAGCCUAGUACACGAGUUACAUCCUUGCUAUUACGAGUACCCACGUUCUCCUUCGGCAGGGCAGCCUGCCGUUGGAACCAUAACGCACCCUAUCAUGCAUCCAGCAUUACCCGUUCCAACACAAACAAUCGUUACAACUUUCAACAAUGGAUCUCUUGGCUCUGGCAUCGAUGAAGAACGCAGCGAAAUGCGAUAAGUAGUGUGAAUUGCAGAAUUCAGUGAAUCAUCGAAUCUUUGAACGCACAUUGCGCCCCUCGGUAUUCCGUGGGGCAUGCCUGUUCGAGCGUCAUCUACACCCUCAAGCUUUGCUUGGUGUUGGGCGUCUGUCCCGCCUCCGCGCGUGGACUCGCCCCAAAUGCAUUGGCAGCGGCCCUUGCCGUCCCUCUCGCGCAGCACAUUGCGCUUCUCGAGGGUGCGGCGGUCCGCGUCCACCAAGCACACCACCGUCUUUGACCUCGGAUCAGGUAGGGAUACCCGCUGAACUUAAGCAUAUCAAAG